UCGGAAUUGCUAGUAAUGGCAGGUCAGCAUACUGCCGUGAAUACGUUCCCGGGCCUUGUACACACCGCCCGUCACACCAUGAGAGUUGGAGAUACCCGAAGCCCAUGAGCUAACUUUUAGAGGCAGUAGUCGAAGGUAGAAUCAAUGAUUGGGGUGAAGUCGUAACAAGGUAUC
rnacentral:rRNA from 1 species